ACUCAUACCUUACAGGGGAAAUACCAUGUCCUAAAAGUGGUUUUCCUAGGGGGAGGCUCAUCCAUUGCACUUUGGGUAUGCUACUGAUUCUUGUGAUUUCCCCAAAUGUGAGGAACUCAACUGCAUAAUUUGUGUUAAUGGAAGAUUACAUUUGUGAUUUUCCC
rnacentral:snRNA from 1 species